UGGAAUUACCGCGGCUGCUGGCA
rnacentral:ncRNA from 2 species